AUCCGGAUCCGGCCUGAACCCACGCCCUCCACGCUCCACUUUCCUUCUUUACUUCCGCCACCACGCCACGCCUGCUCGCCGAAGCCGUGUCCGGCACCGCCUCUGCCCCGGCUGGCGCCACCGCCUCUGCCCCGGCUAUAAAGCCGCGCCCUUUGGCCAGCCCGCUCCUCCUCCUCCCCUCUUCGUCCGGGCCGCGCCUCUCGCGUCCUCGCCGCGCUCUGCCCGGUCCGCUCCUCCUCAUCUCUUCUCCCGGGCCGCGCCUCUCGCCUCCUCGCCGCGCUCUGGCCGGUCCGCGCCUCCUCCACUCUUCGUCCGGGCCGAGCCUUUCUCCUCCUCGCCGCGCUCUGGCAGGUCUGUUGCUCCUCCACUCUUCGUCCGCGCCGUGUCGUUCCCCUCCUCGCCGCGCUCUGCCCGGUUUGCUCCUCAUCCUCCUCCUCCUCCUCUCUUCAUUCGGGUCGUGCCUCUGUCCUCCUCAAGUCGCAUUUCAUCUUGCCCGUCCUCGCUCGGUCGAUUCGUCCGUUUAGAACCGCGUCUGGAUUUGGUUUUGCUCGUCCUCGUCGUCGCCGGUUUAGAUAGAGAGUCCCGCCUGAUUUGAUUUUGCUCGUUCUCUCCGCCGUUCGUUCGUGUAGAGUCGCGUCUGAUUUGGUUCUGCUCGUGCUCGAUUCGUCGGUUUAGAAUCGCUUCCGAGUUGAUUUUGCUCGUCGCCGCCGUUCAUCAGUUCAGAGUCGCUUCUUCUGAUUUGGUUCUGCUCGUCCUCGCCAUCGUCCGUUUUUCCUCCCUCUCGCCGUCGCCCCGAUGCGCUCGCGUGUUCUUGGUUCGUCUCGUCGAGGGUCUACGUCUGGUUUGCGAUUGAGAAAUUUCUGCGUGCGCUUGCGUUUCGUGUUCGGUGUCAGCGCGAGUGUUACAGGAACGGUCGGGUCUUGGUUUUGAAAUUGGGUUACGGCCGGAAAUGGGGAGACAGAGAGGUUUGUCGUGCUAGUUCAACUGGGUUCCUAGGCUCCGUCACCUCGUCGGUUGUUUUCAGAUCUCAACGACUAGCUUGUACGUGUUCGUGUUCGUCCGUCAGAGACAUGCCCUUUGAUACUCUGGUUCCUUUGUCGAUUCUGAUUGUACUAGCUUGGUUCGCCCACCGUCGUGCUAGCUUGUUUCACUUUCUGCAGGCGUGUGUGCUCUCAUCCUUGAUGCAGGGGUGAUUAGUUACGGUUGUUCUGAUGGGUGUUACUGCUUGUUUCUGUUCUUUUCAACUGGUUAUUACUGUACUUUCUAUCAUGCUUUGCUUGUGUUCCCAUAGAUGAUGAUGUGUGUUCAGGGGUGCAAAUCAUGUAGGCCGUGGGUGCCAUUUCUUGCAGGCAGGUAGAGCAGAGUGCCUGACUAAUUGAACACCUGCUGCUGCUACUGUUGGACAAGGUUUCCUCCCAUUGUUAUUUCCAUUUUCAUACGAGUACUAGAUGAGGUGCUGCUAGUUAGUCCCCCCUACACUUCGUUCUAGAUUGCAUAGCAUAACUCCAGAAUUAUUUCAUUGACACCUGGGCAUAUAAUUCUAUUGUGAGCGGAAUUUAUUUAUUUGUGAAAGCACGUUCAUCACAUAUUUUUUAUCAAUGCUGCUCACUUUUGCCACGCCCCUUUUGCUUGUCCUGUUAAAUUUUAUGGCAUCAACUUGGAGCAAAUUUUGUACUCACUGGUUAAAAUAUCGAGAAUGCUGACUUCUGUAUUAGUCGCUAUGUAUGCCAUGCCAUGCACUUCGGAAGCCUGUGCGUGAUUAGGAUUUGGAUUGCAUAUAGAUUUUAUGCUAUGUUUGUUUAUAACCUGGUUGUGACCUAAUAUAGUGUAAAUCUGCUAAUUUUUUUAUUUAAUCUAUGUUCAAUGCAAGUAGGUUUUGUUCGUAAGUGGUAUUUAUUUUGUGUGUGUAUGAACAUUGAUGCCGUCAAUUUUUCUUAUCAUAAUCAUUUACCAUGGUGUUCGACAAUACAUUUCUACGGUUCUUUAUUCCCUUUUGAGGUUAUGAUCACUUAUGUGUUAGUAUAUACUAGCUAUGAUGUGUUUUAUUCAAGUUAUUAACCACAUCUCUUAUAGAUUUGCCUUGAGUUUAUAUGACACUGUCCGUUUCUUUGUGUGUUUCUUGUGUGCAAGCGCUCCAUUGUGUGUGUCUGACUGUGUGUGUGAUGUGCCCCUAUCUAUGUAUGUUUCUUUGUCCAUUUCAUAUGUGCAAGGCGCUCCAUUGUUUGUGUGUGACUGUGUGUUUGACUGCUUAGAUGGGUGAUUAUGAUUGUGUUACUGCUUAUAUGGUCUGUCCAAUUGGUUUCUUCUUCAUGCUUUGCUUGUGUUCCAAUGAUGUCUCCUCAUAUAUGGGGAUGUGUUCAGGGAUGCAAACCAUGUAGGCCGUUUCGAGCAGGCAGGGAUCGAGAGACGUGCACUGGUCAGGCUUCUCUCCUGCUGAUAGAUGAUGAUAGGCUGAGCAGAAAUGUUUGACUCUUGUAACACUCACUUGCUUGGCUUCCACUCCUUUGCGUGGCCGAUUUGGCAUCCAAUGCAUUCCAUGCCUAUCUUAUUUAUCUCACUCACUCAUCAUAGCACCAUUUUCCCUUUUUGUUCCUUAUUUUUUGUAUCAUAAUAAUCAUGUUUACCGUGGUGUUUGGCAAUACAUUUUUUUUGUGAUAUGUUUCGUUAUGUCUUAUGUGGAUAUCAUAUUCUUUUUUUUGUAUUACUGAUGUCCAGUCACUGGAAUAAGCUUUUCUAAGUAUUUCAGGUAGGACAUAGACAUGUCACAUUUGCUCUUCCUUGUGUUGCUACGGACACUGGUGGGUUGGGUUUGCUUGCAGCGAGGACAGAUAAUUCUAUUGGAAUAUUUCUUUGAGAAAGAAGUUAGAUGUCUAUGGCACCAGAAAUAUUUUGGCAAUUCCAAGACUAAUUGGUCAUGAUGACUUCAAGCAUAAAUAGAAGACAGCUGAUUCUGAGGGCCAUCUUGAUCUGAACAGCUCAUUAUUCUAAUUUUAGCUCACCUCUACAGUCAUAAAACUGUGGGCUCUUUAGGUUCAUCUUGUGACACAAAAUACAAUAGUGGUACAUGCAGAAUUUGAAAUUUGGUGAUAAAGAAAAGCUGAAUUAUUUCCGGGCAGGACAGAGAUGCAGUGUUUACAUCCAUGGCAGAAGGUUUUUUAACAGUGCAUCAAAGGUCCUUGGACUCAAGAGGAAGAUGACAAAAUUAUUGACCUUGUAAACAACUAUGGACCACCAGAAUGAUCUCAUUGCAAGGUCAGCUACCAGAACUUCUUGCUGCUGAUCCUGGGAUGUUUCCGAACAUGCUCCCAAACAUGUUCAAUUUAUCCGCCCUAGGACAGCCACUGCCAUGACACAGUAGGCUACUCGGCAUGCUCGGCGUGUUUACCUCGGUGGACUUCCUCCAAUCGCUAAUGAACAUACGGUUGCUCUAUUCUUCAAUCAAGUUAUGGCCGCUAUUGGGGAAGACACAUUUGAUCCAGGUGAUGCAGUUCUUAAUAUGAAGCUGAUUUUUGAAUUCAUACAAAACAUCUUAGGUGGCAUAAUCAUCUAACUCUGUGUGUGUGACUGACUGACUGUGUGUGUCUGUGGCUGUGUAUGUUUUGUGUGUGUGACUAACUGUGUGUGUUCUAUGUCUUGUGUGUGUGACUGACUGUUAC